rnacentral:tRNA from 1 species
GGCUGUAGCUCAGUGGAUAGAGUAUCGGCCUCCGAAGCCGAGGGUCGUGGGUUCGAUCCCCGCCAGCCGC